rnacentral:rRNA from 1 species
AUUGAACGCUGGCGGCAGGCCUAACACAUGCAAGUCGAGCGGAUGAAGGGAGCUUGCUCCUGGAUUCAGCGGCGGACGGGUGAGUAAUGCCUAGGAAUCUGCCUGGUAGUGGGGGAUAACGUCCGGAAACGGGCGCUAAUACCGCAUACGUCCUGAGGGAGAAAGUGGGGGAUCUUCGGACCUCACGCUAUCAGAUGAGCCUAGGUCGGAUUAGCUAGUUGGUGGGGUAAAGGCCUACCAAGGCGACGAUCCGUAACUGGUCUGAGAGGAUGAUCAGUCACACUGGAACGGAGACACGGUCCAGACUCCUACGGGAGGCAGCAGUGGGGAAUAUUGGACAAUGGGCGAAAGCCUGAUCCAGCCAUGCCGCGUGCGUGAAGAAGGUCUUCGGAUUGUAAAGCACUUUAAGUUGGGAGGAAGGGCAGUAAGUUAAUACCUUGCUGUUUUGACGUUACCAACAGAAUAAGCACCGGCUAACUUCGUG